UACGAAGGGGGCUAGCGUUGUUCGGAAUUACUGGGCGUAAAGCGUGCGCAGGCGGCUUCUCAAGUCAGGGGUGAAAGCCCAGAGCUCAACUCUGGAAUUGCCUUUGAGACUGAGAGGCUUGAGUACGGGAGAGGUGAGUGGAAUUCCCAGUGUAGAGGUGAAAUUCGUAGAUAUUGGGAAGAACACCGGUGGCGAAGGCGGCUCUCUGGACCGAUACUGACGCUGAGGCGCGAAAGCGUGGGGAGCAAACAGG
rnacentral:rRNA from 1 species